GGCUGCGGUGUACGGCGCCGGCGGCGCGAUGAAGGGCGGGAAGCUCGGCAUGGAGGAGGCGCGGGAGCUGCAGCUCAACCGCAUCCGCAUCACCCUCUCCUCCAAGAACGUCAAGAACCUCGAGAAGGGUAAUCCAUUCUUUCUCUUUUUCUUCUAUAGUUUCAGUUCGUUGUCGUUCAGAGAGGAUUAGAUUAGAUCGGAUUUUUUUUUGCUGAGAGCGCGAAGCUGAUUCGUGUGUUUAUGGUUGCAGUUUGCGCUGAUCUGGUGAAGGGCGCCAAGGACAAGCAGCUGCGCGUCAAGGGCCCCGUCAGGAUCCCCACCAAGGUGCUCCACAUCACCACCCGCAAGUCGCCGUGCGGUGAAGGUAUUGACCAGUUGCAGCCACCUCUAAUUGCAAUGCUUGAUUGGGUUUGAAUCCAUUUGUUUUUGUGGUAUGUUUCGACUCAUGGGUAUAGCUUUGGUUUAGGUGGUUAGGAAAUGGAUUGGUGGAGACAGAUGCCACUGUAUAGAUGCCAGUGUAUAGAUGCUUGGUUAAGCUAGAUCCUGGUCUAAAUUAGUGCUCUUGGUUGGUGACUAGUGUGGAUUGUGUGACCAUUGGAAUCAUUUAGUCAAAACUAUUUGAUUUUUCAGGCAAUCUCUUUGUUGAAAUUUGCCUUAGUUAGAGUACUUCACUAAGUGUUAUUGUUGUAUGGCCAUGUUCUUAUAGUGACUUUCGGCUAUCUAAAAUCUGCAAUAAAGACUACCAGCAACAAGUUGCCACCAAAAUGUAAUGAAGGAUGAAUGUUUAAGUUUUCGAGUGAAAGCACAUGGUAUAGCAAGUUGAGUAGAAGGGUUACUAUUGGAGGUUUGUGGUGAAUAAGUUUGGUUUACCUGUUCUUUGUCGACCCAACCAUUUCAUCACCCAACCAUUUCAUGCAUGGAGAUGGAUGGGCAGCGGGAUAGCAAGCGAUGGACACUGUCAAGCUACAACAAACUAGGAUAUUCCUAUGUUAUUCACUUCUAGAUAAGGGAAUGAUCUAGAGGCAAGCUCAGAAAACUUGCCGUUACCCCCACAGUCUCAUAUUAAGGGGGCAGAAUAUACAGACGUUUCUUCAAUUUUAGUGUUAUUAUUCUCCACAUGUCAUAAUUUUAAAGAUAGCCAAGCCAAGUUCUGAAGUCAAGAAGGUUUAGUAAGAUUUUGUUUAGCAGGGAUUUGGAAGGCACAUAUGUUGGUAUUCUAUUGGAAUGCAAGUGGGCUGGCUUUUGAACCCAUUUAUGGGCUAUUCAAGUGGGUAAACCAUAGGUUGGUGCACUUAAAUGGCCUAUAAGUGGGUUUGUGGGCUGGCCCUCUUGUAUCCUGAUAGUUUAGUAUGAUUGGUAAUAAUAGCAAUGCUACUUUUAAAUUUAAGGUUUGUUAUGGACUAGUGAUAACUGUUAUGGGAUCGAGUACCAGUGGCACAAGAAACUACUGGCUAGUCUCGUAGCUUGCUAGGUACUCCCUCUGUCCCAAAAUAAACAAAGCUAGUACGGGGAUGUGGCACUUCCUAGUCCUGUACUAGGUUUGUUUAUUUUGGGACGGAGGGAGUAUCAUAGUUUGUUACUCCUCUGGUUACUAUUUAUCUUUUUGGCUCCUAACCUACAAAGGUCGCAGUGUAGUAAAACCUCCUGCCCAAAAUGUAGCUCUCUUUGGCUUUGAAUCUGGAUAUGAACUUGUCUAGAUUCAUAGCUAGAUAUAGUUACACCUUGGGAUGGAUGUAGUAUUGUACUCCCUCUGUUUUUAAAUGUAUGACGCUGUUGACUUUUAGAUAUAUGUUGACAAUUCGUCUUAUUCAAAAAAUCGAGCAAAUAUAAAAAUAUAAGUGAGGCUUAAGGUAUAUUUGAUGAUAAAACAAGUCAUGGCAAAAUUAAUGAUACCUGUAUAACUUUUUUGAGUAAGACGAGUGGUCAAACGUAGAUUUAAAAGUCAACGGUGUCAUAUAUUUAUAAAUGGAGGUAGUAUUAGAGAAGGAAUCCAUUGAUAAACAAGAUUAGUGCUCUUCCCACUAUUAUAGCAACCAUAGGCUCGAAGCCUGCAUUGCGCAAGAGACUUGGUUGCAAAAAGACAUCACUAAACUAAAGGAUCAAACUUUACGCCCAUUUAAGUGGACAUGUGAGUUUGUUUCAUGGGAUUUAUUAUUAUGUGAAUUCAUUGAUUUGUUAAUUGGACAAAGUACAUGAUAUGUUUAACUUGUAAUGUAUAUCCUUUUUGUGUGCCAAUCAUCCUGUACCCCUGUUUACCUAUGCUCAUGUAGUUGUAGCAUAUUGUUCUGAUGAUUGACAGUUUUUUUACUUUCAUGCUUAUCUUUCAUCAAUAUAUCUUCAGGUCAGUUUAUGCUUGCAACAGUUAAACUGGACGCUCUUUGUUAGAUGAAACCACUUUGGAUGCUAGUUGCUUAAGCUAGGGAAAUUUGCUGACAUCUUGUUGGCUUAACUUCACAUUGGUUGGGUUUUCUUGUGCUAAUUCAGGACUAUUUUGCGUUCUUUUCUGACCAGGAACAAACACAUGGGAUCGUUUCGAGUUCCGCAUCCACAAGCGGGUGAUCGAUCUCAUCAGCUCCCCAGAUGUUGUGAAGCAGAUCACCUCCAUCACCAUCGAGCCUGGUGUCGAGGUCGAGGUGACGAUCGCUGAUGUGUAAUGCUGCCAAACUAGCACUACCUUAGACCUACCUGUCUUGUUUCUC
rnacentral:lncRNA from 1 species